CACUCCCCUAGCGUCCUCAUCCUAGACUAUGAGUCCUUGACUCAGUUUCUCUGCGGAGCGCCCUGUCCCGAGCCUGGGCAGGACGAGAGGGCCUGGCGACACAGGAGACAGGAGUCGCCGGCGUCGAAGUCACCGUUGAUCUGUGCCCUGUGUUUAGGAACAAAGACCCUCAAAAUGACGUCAUCUCGAGGAUGGCUGGGUCGGGCUGGCGUUUGACGUGUGACCUUUGACACAGGAGGCCCGCCCUCUUGCCCCAGCCCCAAGUCUGGGGCUUGAGGUCAGCAACCCAGCGCCCAGGGUCCUUUGCCUCCGUGGGAAAUGGGACCCUGCGUCCCAAGUCUGCACGCAGGAUUCCGUCUCAGCACAGAACAGGAGAUUGUUUUGUAACCUGCAGAGAAGCACUAGCAGGAGGUAGGCUCCCACCCUCCCAGAGAAACUGCAAGAAGAGCACUAUCUGCCUUGACGAUUGCAUUUCAAAGAGAGGACUCUCAGGCCCCCGGACGGACUACUGGGUGGUAAAGCUGGAAAGAGCCUUAUUGGGCUUUUUAAAGGUUUACACACAUUUCCAAGGACAGAGAAAGACACUCUACAAGUUCUCAAAAGAAAACACUCAGAAAAAGGAGGAGCUAAAAAUCUUUCCUUACUUUCCACAAGGAGAAUUAAGGCUCUUAUUUUUAACUUGCUUUCACAUCUAUUAAAAAAAAAGGUAUAUAUCAAGGGAUCCCGUACAAGAGCAUUAACCUCCUCCAAACUUAGACUGAAAUCCAAACCGGGAGUUGGUCACAUAACAUGGUAAAAUAAAUAUUGGAAAAUAUUUUUUCAAGCUUAAAAA